GACGGAGGAGGCAAGCGUUAUCCGGAAUUAUUGGGCGUAAAGGGUACGUAGGCGGCUGGUCAAGUCUGGGGUCAAAGACCACAGCUUAACUGUGGAAAGGCCUUGGAAACUGACUGGCUAGAGUGGGGCAGGGGUUGCGGGAAUUCCCGGUGUAGCGGUGAAAUGCGUAGAUAUCGGGAAGAACACCUGAGGCGAAAGCGCGCAACUGGGCCCUAACUGACGCUGAGGUACGAAAGCUAGGGGAGCGAAUGGG
rnacentral:rRNA from 1 species